rnacentral:rRNA from 1 species
UACGUAGGGUGCAAGCGUUAAUCGGAAUUACUGGGCGUAAAGCGUGCGCAGGCGGUGAUGUAAGACAGUUGUGAAAUCCCCGGGCUUAACCUGGGAACUGCAUUUGUGACUGCAUCGCUGGAGUGCGGCAGAGGGGGAUGGAAUUCCGCGUGUAGCAGUGAAAUGCGUAGAUAUGCGGAGGAACACCGAUGGCGAAGGCAAUCCCCUGGGCCUGCACUGACGCUCAUGCACGAAAGCGUGGGGAGCAAACAGG